UACGUAGGGUGCGAGCGUUGCCCGGAUUUACUGGGCGUAAAGAGCGCGCAGGCGGUCGUUCAAGUCGAGUGUGAAAGCCCCCGGCUCAACUGGGGAGGGUCAUUCGAUACUGAUCGACUCGAAGGCAGGAGAGGGUAGUGGAAUUCCCGGUGUAGUGGUGAAAUGCGUAGAUAUCGGGAAGAACACCUGUGGCGAAGGCGGCUUCCUGGCCCACAACUGACGCUGAGGCGCGAAAGCUAGGGGAGCAAACAGG
rnacentral:rRNA from 1 species